rnacentral:rRNA from 1 species
AAUGGAGGCAACUCUGAUCCAGCCAUGCCGCGUGCAGGAAGACUGCCUAUGGGUUGUAAACUGCUUUUAUAUAGGAAGAACCUACUUACGUGUAAGUAGCUGACGGUACUAUAAGAAUAAGGAUCGGCUAACUCCGUGCCAGCAGCCGCGGUAAUACGGAGGAUCCAAGCGUUAUCCGGAAUCAUUGGGUUUAAAGGGUCCGUAGGUGGAUAAUUAAGUCAGAGGUGAAAUCUUGCAGCUCGACUGUAAAAUUGCCUUUGAUACUGGUUAUCUUGAGUUAUUAUGAAGUAGUUAGAAUAUGUAGUGUAGCGGUGAAAUGCAUAGAUAUUACAUAGAAUACCAAUUGCGAAGGCAGAUUACUAAUAAUCAACUGACACUGAUGGACGAAAGCGUGGGUAGCGAACAGGAUU